UUGUCUCGUGGUGUAAUGGUAGCACAACAGGUUUUGGUUCUGUUUGUCAAGGUUCGAAUCCUUGCGAGACAACACA
rnacentral:tRNA from 1 species